AUGAAUAAACUUGGUGGGCUGUUGCUGGCUCUUUGGAGCAUGUGCACGCCCGUCAUCUUUAUAUUUUUCCACCUGUGCACCUUUGUAGACUUUGAACAAACUUAUCGCUGAAAAUGCGGAUGGAGGGGUUGCUGGAGUACCCGGCUCUCCUUGUCGUUCAAGUCUAUGUUUUUACCAAACUCUACUGUAUGUUUAGAAUGGAAAUGCAAUAGGCUUUUGGCCUAUAAAAGUUAUAUA
rnacentral:misc_RNA from 1 species